rnacentral:lncRNA from 1 species
CAAACAUCGGUGGGCACAACGACAUCUGUUUUCGUUGAAAACUGAGGCCUUAGGCUUUGGUUGAAAACCGAGGCCAAGGGUGACCAGCCAGUGAGUUAAGGAGGCCCCAGCCGAACUUUGCUGGAAGUGCUCCAGCAUAAAGCCUCUCUCCAGAACCAGCCGCCACUGAGACGUCUUGAAGUCAAAGUAACUCACACCCUUGUCCACCUCGCCCUGCGGUGAAGAAACUUCGGUCGCACAGGCUCCAGAACUCAUCUUGGCGUGGGCUGUGACUUACUGGGGGAUGGGCCUCCUUUUCGUUCUAGCUCCUAAAUGGAGCGGAGCGCCAGGUGGUGUCAGAGGGGGCGGCGGCCCCUCCAAUGGUGGCACCCUCAGCCACGGAUAAGGUUCCAAUUAGGUAAGGACGCAAGUAAUGCU